rnacentral:lncRNA from 1 species
GUUUGUUGUGGGUAGCCAGCAGAUAGAUGAUGUCCUCAGUGCUGGACAGAGAAAAGGUAUCAUUAGCUGAUGACAUUGCCUAUGAGCAUCAAAGAGAGAGAGAGGAUCCUCGCUCCAAAGCCUCGCUCCGUCAGCCCUUCCCUGGCAUAUCCACUACAACCCUUUACAUGAAACUCGGGAGCUAAAAAUUAAUGGAGGAGACCCAAAGAUGCCAGAAAAGUUGUUGUUCUGAAUAUGGGAACAAGAUAUAUGACCUUCCUGUUGUCUUCGGGAAUGACAGACUGGUGAAGUAUGCUAAUGGAGCAUCAGAAAGAGAAUGCAGUGUAUCUCAAAUUGGAAGAUACACACCUAAGGACGUUAUAACACAAGAAAUAAAACAGCAACGAGAAAUCCAGCAAGAAGUCUGGGCGUUUUUCUGAAAGGCCAGAGUUAACAUGCAGCUCCUAGGAACAGUGUAUCAUGAUCUGUUUUGGAAAUGCUUUGGGCCAACAAAUCAACUUUGGAUACCUUGGCUGUACUUCUGUGUCAGUGAUAAAGAGGAAGAAACAGCUGAAUAUAGAUAACAUAACAGUAUGAUUUUCUGAAAUAUAAAAACUCAUAAUUACUCAACUAAAC